rnacentral:lncRNA from 1 species
UACAGUCGUGGCCUCUGUUGUGCCAGAAUUGCUUAGCAAGAAGACUACUUUGAAAAGGGUGGCUUCAUUUCAUCUCAAUUAUUAUGUAUUUGAAACAUAAUUUAUCUUUGUGUUUAAUGGUUAACACUUAACAAGGUUCCUCUUUAUGGUUGAUUUUUAUGCCUUUAUUAUGAUUAUUAGAAUUUAAUUUGUUGUUCUGAAUUCUGAACAAUGGCCAUGAUCCUUAGCUUAGCUAUUAAGUAGAAGGUUUAGGAUAAAUUGGAAACUCACUCAUCUUUCUUCCAUGGCCGAACCACACACUCCACCAUCACUAUACAUCACUCAAAAUUCAUCUCUCCACCAUUUUCAUCCUUUCGAAGCUUGUUUGAAAGCUAGGAGUUGUGAGCUUCCUCUUCUAAGGUAACUAAAACUUCUUUUCUUCUCCAUAGCAGGUCAAGCUCUUAGAGCUUGAAGAAUAGUUUUAUGUCUUUUUCAUAUUUAUGAUUUAGUUAACUCCUAAUGGAAGUCUUGUAGUAGCUAUUAUGAAACUAGUGUGUUAAGGGUAGUUAGAUGGAUAUUCNNNNNNNNNNNNNNNNNNNNNNNNNNNNNNNNNNNNNNNNNNNNNNNNNNNNNNNNNNNCAAUUUAUCAAAGACAUGAGAGUUGCUUCUGCUGCUUUGAAAUUAGACCCUCUGUAGCUUUUGAAAACAUGUAUUGAUGUGGUCUAAUUUUGAAGAAUAAAAUCAGUGAGGGUUUAAAUCUACUUAGCUUAAAAUUUUGAGUUACUUUGGAAAAGAAAUUUUUAAGUUAAGAUAAGCUUUUGAUGAUUGUUUUAUACAAGUAGAUUAUUGGUUUUGGGAAUGAAAUGUUUGAACUAGCCAUGUUUUAUUGAGAGGCAGAGGCAUGUAUAGUAUAUGUAUCAUGCUUCUUUUCAAAAUUUUCAUGCUAUUUUAAAAAGAGAAUGAUCAUGGUUUAGAAGAAAACAAUUAUUUAGUAACUCAAUUAAAUUUACUUUGUUUGGAGAUGAAACUAGAAACUUUUUCAUUGCAACAUGUAUAAUUAUUUCUCAUUGUGGUUAGUAAGUGAUUGUUUACACGAGCCUUUUGAUCUUUAAUAAGGUUGCUACAUGUUAAGUUGACACUGCUUUAUGUAAGAUUUGCUUCAAGUUUUGGGACUGGUUUAUGCAACAUAUUUGGGGUACAGCCUAACAGCAAUGACUGUAGAUAUUAUGUAAUGAAGAAUAUGAUUGACAUUGUCUCAGCUAGUAUUACAAAGAAUUGAUGGAGGUAUUAUAUUUUUCUUUAUCGACAUUAUAUGUAUUUUUCGUUAACCUCUCUUGAUGUUUAGCAGACUGCUUAUGCUUUUAUGGUAAAUCUGUAUAGGUUUGGUUGGCACUUAAUAAGUGAAAUUAACAUACAAAUAGUGUAGAUAGUAGAACCACAUGUUAGAUUAUGAGACAGAAGUAUUGAUUGCUGCAUUUUUUCUGCAUAAAAAGAAGUAUUGAUUGCUGCAUUUUUUCUGCAUAAAUGAGACUGGUUUUCUGUAUAUUCAUGCAU